rnacentral:rRNA from 1 species
GGUCACUGCUAUCGGUGUUCGAUUAAGCCAUGCGAGUCGUGAGGUAACUCGGCGGAGUGCUCAGUAACACGUGGACAACCUACCCAAGAGUCAGGGAUAACCCCGGGAAACUGGGGAUAAUACCUGAUAGGCCAUGACAUCUGGAAUCAGUUGUGGUUUAAACGUAAGGCUCUUGGAUGGGUCUGCGGCGGAUUAGGUUGUUGCCGGUGUAACGUACCAGCAAGCCUGUAAUCCGUACGUGUUGUGGGAGCAAGAGCCCGGAGAUGGAUUCUGAGACACGAAUCCAGGCCCUACGGGGCGCAGCAGGCGCGAAAACUCUACAAUGCAGGCAACUGCGAUAGGGGAACAUCGAGUGGCAUCCACCAUGGAUGUCUGUCCAAUCGUCUAAAAAACGAUGUCAGCAAGGGCCGGGCAAGACCGGUGCCAGCCGCCGCGGCAAUACCGGCGGCUCGAGUGGUGGCCGAUAUUAUUGAGUCUAAAGGGUCCGUAGCCGGCUUUGCAAGUCCUAUGGGAAAUCCAGCGGCUUAACCGUUGGGCUUUCAUGGGAUACUACAUUGCUUGGGACUGGGAGAGGUAGGAGGUACUCA